AUACGGAGGGUCCAAGCGUUAUCCGGAAUCACUGGGCGUAAAGGACGCGUAGGCGGGAAGCCAAGUCUGAUGUGAAAUCCUAUGGCUCAACCAUAGAACUGCAUUGGAAACUGGCUACCUAGAGUAUGGGAGGGGGAGAUGGAAUUAGUGGUGUAGGGGUAAAAUCCGUAGAUAUCACUAGGAAUACCGAAAGCGAAGGCGAUCUCCUGGAACAAUACUGACGCUAAGGCGUGAAAGCGUGGGGAGCAAACGGGAUUAGAAACCCUAGUAGUCC
rnacentral:rRNA from 1 species